rnacentral:rRNA from 1 species
CUUGAACGCUGGCGGCAGGCCUAACACAUGCAAGUCGAACGGAGUGGCGGACGGGUGAGUAAUGUCUGGGACACUGCCUGAUGGAGGGGGAUAACUACUGGAAACGGUAGCUAAUACCGCAUACUAUCAGAUGAGCCUAGGUGGGAUUAGCUAGUUGGUGGGGUAAAGGCCUACAAAGGCGACGAUCAGUAACUGGUCUGAGAGGAUGAUCAGUCACACUGGAACUUAGACACGGUCCAGACUCCUACGGGAGGCAGCAGUGGGGAAUAUUGGACAAUGGGCGAAAGCCUGAUCCAGCCAGGCCGCGUGUGUGAAGAAGGUCUUCGGAUUGUAAAGCACUUUAAGUUGGGAGGCGUUACCAACAGAAUAAGCACCGGCUAACUUCGUGCCAGCAGCCGCGGUAAUAC